rnacentral:rRNA from 1 species
GACGAACGCUGGCGGCGUGCUUAACACAUGCAAGUCGAACGGAAAGGCCCUGCUUUUGUGGGGUGCUCGAGUGGCGAACGGGUGAGUAACACGUGAGUAACCUGCCCUUGACUUUGGGAUAACUUCAGGAAACUGGGGCUAAUACCGGAUAGGAGCUCCUGCUGCAUGGUGGGGGUUGGAAAGUUUCGGCGGUUGGGGAUGGACUCGCGGCUUAUCAGCUUGUUGGUGGGGUAGUGGCUUACCAAGGCUUUGACGGGUAGCCGGCCUGAGAGGGUGACCGGCCACAUUGGGACUGAGAUACGGCCCAGACUCCUACGGGAGGCAGCAGUGGGGAAUAUUGCACAAUGGGCGGAAGCCUAAUGCAGCAACGCCGCGUGCGGGGUGACGGCCUUCGGGUUGUAAACCGCUUUCGCCUGUGACGAAGCGUGAGUGACGGUAAUGGGUAAAGAAGCACCGGCUAACUACGUGCCAGCAGCCGCGGUGAUACGUAGGGUGCGAGCGUUGUCCGGAUUUAUUGGCGUAAAGGGCUCGUAGGUGGUUGAUCGCGUCGGAAGUGUAAUCUUGGGGCUUAACCCUGAGCGUGCUUUCGAUACGGGUUGACUUGAGGAAGAUAGGGGAGAAUGGAAUUCCUGGUGGAGCGGUGGAAUGCGCAGAUAUCAGGAGGAACACCAGUGGCGAAGGCGGUUCUCUGGGCCUUUCCUGACGCUGAGGAGCGAAAGCGUGGGGAGCGAACAGGCUUAGAUACCCUGGUAGUCCACGCUGUAAACGGUGGGUACUAGGUGUGGGGUCCAUUCCACGGGUUCCGUGCCGUAGCUAACGCUUUAAGUACCCCGCCUGGGGAGUACGGCCGCAAGGCUAAAACUCAAAGGAAUUGACGGGGCCCCGCACAAGCGGCGGAGCAUGCGGAUUAAUUCGAUGCAACGCGUAGAACCUUACCUGGGUUUGACAUGGAUCGGGAGCGCUCAGAGAUGGGUGUGCCUCUUUUGGGGUCGGUUCACAGGUGGUGCAUGGCUGUCGUCAGCUCGUGCCGUGAGAUGUUGGGUUAAGUCCCGCAACGAGCGCAACCCUUGUUCACUGUUGCCAGCACGUUAUGGUGGGGACUCAGUGGAGACCGCCGGGGUCAACUCGGAGGAACGUGGGGAUGACGUCAAGUCAUCAUGCCCCUUAUGUCCAGGGCUUCACGCAUGCUACAAUGGCUGGUACAGAGAGUGGCGAGCCUGUGAGGGUGAGCGAAUCUCGGAAAGCCGGUCUCAGUUCGGAUUGGGGUCUGCAACUCGACCUCAUGAAGUCGGAGUCGCUAGUAAUCGCAGAUCAGCAACGCUGCGGUGAAUACGUUCCCGGG